CUUAGGAUCCUAAAGGAUUAAAAAGAGCCUUGGCUUGGGGGCGUCUGAUGAUCCAGGAUACACUGAGCUAUGGGACUUGCUCAGACUCUCCUCCCGUUAGGCAGCAGAAUCUAAUAAGAAACAGACAGUACACAAUGAAGUCAUCAAGAUCUGGUGUCUGGUGCAAGUAAGACUCGCCCCACAGGAGCUGGGGUCGUGGAAACAGAAGUGAAGAAAUUGAGACAUGGAAACGCAGGAUAACACCCCGUGUCCAUUCUCAGAAAGACUGUUCUCUGGGAUGUUCCCUAAGGCUCUUCUGGGGAUUCCCCUCUGCAUCCUGCCCACCAUGAUGUUGUUGGACUGUUCUGUGACACUGCACCUUCCCCACCUUGACAGAGUAACGCCUCUGAAAGCAGGAGCCCAAAUCAGUUAAGUUCUUUCCUCAAAUAUUUUGGUUAACUGCGUACAAGUAAUGAGUCAUGUGUCUGGUGUCACACUCACUUCAUGGGUCUGAAUGGAAUCCUCCUGCGUCUGUCCUCUUUCUGCGCUUUGCUGGGGUUUUGCUAGUGGGAUGAUGUCCUUCUUCCUCUGGGGCCUUUAAGUCUCACAUUGUCUGUGAGUUGUCCUUUCUCUCUGUACUUGGACAGUCAGCUACCCAGCCCUGGUUUCUGAGGACCGCCCUUUCUUCUUUGUCUCCAAAGCCAGGGUCCUUCUCCAGUUUCAGGGGCCUAUGAAGACCUAUCGUUAGACCCCCAUGAAUCUUCCAGGCACCUUCCUCUUCAUCCUAUAUCACAAAUGAUUACCAAGUGAAUCUUCUAUAUAAAAACAACGGUUCCACCUGUCAUCUAGUCUAGAGCUCUCAGACACAGUUGCGGCUGUGGUGGACUCCUGUUCUGCUAUCUGCAAUCUUUGUAUGAGAAAAGCCAGGAGCUGUUUCCUUAUGUUUUCUUCUUCUCGGAAUGCUCAGGCCAUCUCUGCUAAUGCAUCCAUCCCCCACCCCCUGCCCUACCAGGAGGGGGUCCUCAGUGUAGCUUGCCAAGCCACGAGCCCACUCUUAAUGGCUUAGACCACGGGUAGACACUUGAUUCAUGAGCAGCCAGCAUAGGCAGCCUGUCAUAAAGAGCUGCCCAUGCAGAACAGCCAGUGCUGGACAGAGGCCACCGAAUCAAUUUGGGCCUCUCCUGGGAGUCUCAUUCCUGAAGGGAGACGCUGAGCAGAGUCAGCGAGGGGCUGAGGAGGAGUCACCCAACCCAGAGUGACAGCCUUAGGGGCAGUGAGAUAACGUUGCUAGACGCACUGUCCUGAAUGAUCUCACCGGGCACUGGCUGUGCCUUUUGGUUUCUAUCGUCUGAUGUUUUGACAUCUUGGGGGCCUUCCUGACUGACUCUGGAGGGGGGACAUCUGGAUACCUUACUGACUGACUCUGGAGGGGGGACAUCUGGGGGCCUUACUGACUGACUCUGGAGGGGGAACAUCUGGAUGGAUACCUUACUGACUGACUCUGGAGGGGGACAUCUGGGGGCCUUCCUGACUGACUCUGGAGGGGGGACAUCUGGAUACCUUACUGACUGACUCUGGAGGGGGGGACAUCUGAGGGCCUUCCUGACUGACUCUGGAGGGGGGACAUCUGGGGGCCUUCCUGACUGACUCUGGAGGGGGAAGUCGUAGGGGAAGUAGCUAAUUGCCUCUCCUCUCCCACUCCAGCAUGGCUCUCAGAUGUAAACCAACCAGAGCCCCUGCCCUGCCCACCUCCUUUCCUGACUUCUCUUUCUCACAGGUACACUCCACCUUCCUCCAUCACUGCUAGUCCAGGUACCCAGCUCAGGGUAGUCCCUAGAGCCCAGACUUAAGAAGCAUAAUUUUCACCUAAGCUGAGCCUGCUUACUCUUCCAUGACCACUCCCUCCCACAAUGCCCAGUGACGCCCUGUACCCUUCUUCCUCCUCCCUCCUGACCAGGUGCUACCCUCGUGGUGCCCUGGGGUAUAGCAUGGUCCUUAUUCUUGGAACUGAAUGACCUGUCUUGUCAACAGCAGCUGCCUCCUGGUCUGCUGACCUCAUUUCUAAAAUCGGCAGGUUCUGCGUGACUCACUCAUCUCCGUGGAGUCUGGCUGUGUGGUUGUUCCUCUUCGAGGCAGGGCCGGGGCUCUUCCUGCCUUACCCUAGGUAAAUGCACUGAAUAUGACCUGUCUCACUUCAGUGGGUUGUUAGUUCUUCUUUAGAUCAGAUCUUUACUGGUUGUCUCACCCCCUUUCUUUACGGAGCUCCCCACUCCCCGUGCUCUUCACAGGCAAGCAUGCUGGCUUUCUUUGUAAAUAGCCUUACAUAUGUUCUUGUCCCCUGUGCCUGGUCAUGAGGCCAUCCUUCAGACAACUCCUGCCUUCCCCGUGCCUAAAACUACUCUCUUUCUCCGAGGUCUCACAUUCAGACGUCCUAUGAUGGCUUCUGUAACCUCACGUGCCUCUCUCUGCACAUCAGCAUCACCCAUGUGUGGGUUUCGAUCCCACCACAGAGCAUCCAGUGUUCCCCGCUUUGUGUUCGGGAAUUCUCUCUCCUCAGGGUUAUAUGCACUCUCAGUUCAGGAGACAGACGUUUUGCUUGAUGAUAGGAUGCACUGGUAUCUAAGCAACUGACAUCUUUCUUCUCCUUAAGCCGGGGUAUAAAAUCCACACAUAGAGCAACAGUUGCUACCUGUUGAGCCAGAGCCUGGCUGGAGGGGAAGCCCCAUUUUAUCUCCAUUCUGAGUCCCCGGAAGGCCAGCCCCAGCUUUCUUAAGUGGAGAGAACUUCAUUCAUUUCCUAAUGGGUCAUACUUGGGGAAAGACUGGAGUUUCUUCAUUUUAGUGUCAGGCCAGUAAGGGGUUGCAAAGUACAGAGUAAGGAAUGAGGGUAAAGCAAGAGGGAUUGGCCCACCAGUGGGAUUUGAGGACUGUCUCUUACAUGGAGGCUGGGAUGGGGAGACUGGAGCAGAAGCCGAGGCAAUCAAACACGCCCCUCACAGUUUUGAUCCGGCUCUCACCUGUUUGAAAGGAAAACAUCUGGCUUGUCUUCCAUUGACCCUGAUGUAAAUGGGUAAAGGAUUUCAGGGCACAUUCCUGAUAGUUCCCUGAGGGACUUCCUAACAAAGGGGUGGAGCCAAGUAGCUCUUGGAAUGGUCUCCCAUCAUAGACAUUGCACUUAGAGUUUGAGCUAUACGAAUAAUUCAGAUGCUACACUGUAAGCCCUAAAUAUACCUUAAGCCCACAAACAACGCCCCUUUGUCCAGCUUUAUGCCUGUGUUCCUUUAAAUGGACUUUCUGUUCCUGACCGCACUGUAAUCAGCAGAUAUCCCUACCGUCCCCCCAUUCCCUCCUCCUCCCUUAAAACGGCUCCUUCUAAUAGCUAGCAUCCUGCAGUGACCAAAGCCAUUAGAAGGAUUGCACCAUUACUAUCCUGUCCAGCACACACAUAAUGCCCCAGGGAUUGCCUUUCUUCUUCUUUGCUUGAUGCUUUUUUGUGGAUGAAAUCGGGGCCCAAUGGUGGGCUGAAAAAAAAAAAAACCGAAGAGGGCAGAAGGUGACAGUAAUUCGUUUCAAGGGCACCUCCCAAACAGCUUUCCCCACUUGAGAUUCCUUUGUGAAGGUGACGGCAGAUGUCAGCCUUGUGGAUAAAGCAGGCUCUGAAAGCACGCGGACAGGUUGCAGACCUCUGUUCCUCGUUACCAUAAUAUUGAAUGCUCAUCUUUUCCCAAGCACGACAGCGAAUAUGUGCUCUGCCUGCUAGCUCACUGUUGUUUGUGCUGGAAAGAACCCGGGCCCAGCCCAGAGCCACGUUGCAGGGCUCAGGACUGCUCUGAAACACUGCCACCUAGUGGCGUGAUGAGGGUUGUAGCUCAGGAAUCCUGGGAGAAGCAUGGAAGAAUCUUCUAGCAUGUGGGGACUCUCGGGACCCAAGAGGGAGAGUAACUCCUAAAGACGUGGAGGCUUCUAGUGCUUCAGGACAGACAGGCUAAAAGAAGAUGUGGCUCAGCCUCUGCCACCAUUUGAAGAAGCCCAGGUUGCUCUUGCUCCUUCUUUUAAGGCUCAAUGGUCCUGCUCAUCAAAGCAUUUCCCCAGCGAACACACAGUGGAGGGAAUUUAAAUUCCAUCUUGAUGGAAUUUGAACCAAAGCACACUGCCCAGUGUCACUUUAUACGCUGUGAAUCAUCAAGCCAGCUACGAAUACCUCGAGGGGUCCUUGCCGUUGUUCAACAUAAAUCAGUAAAAUGACAGGCAAUUGACUCUGAAGACAGCUUUCACAUGGCUGAGAGGCUGGAGCUGCUGGAAGCAAAUGAGGGCAUUUUUCUGUAAACCACUUGUGAUUAGCGCCAGAAUAAACAGUAGAUUGGGCUUUAUCCUCCACACCACAUGUGACAGUCAUAUACUAACCCUCUGAAACUGAAACCACAGAACAUGCAGAAAAGAGACAGAGAGAAAACAGCAACAACUGUUCUGUUUGCAAUGCUCAAAGCAUGCCACCUGUGGCUGAUCAAGAAGCACUGGUCCCUGUGGUCAUCCUUAAAUGAAGUGUGCAUCACUGUCUGGAAGCUUUACGAUGCAUUAACAUCGAGCCUUUCAACUUCAAGCAACAACGGCACCAGUCAACUAAGUCAGGCUUUGCUAAGUGAAAAAGGACAGAGGCAGAGUCUACAUCCAAGCUGAAAGCGUGGUCAGAGCUGCUUCCUCUGAGUUUAGUUCCCUCUUCUGCAAGGACUGUGUGACCUCUGGACAUUUGUUAGGUCAUAUCCAAAUAGCAUAGUUCAUACAGAGAAGUAGAGAACCUGUAGAGGAUUAGACAACUGGUCGACCACAGAGCUGGAUGCUCUCAUUAUGUCAGAGGACUCUGUGUUUGAUUCUGAAGUCCAUUGUCAACUCUGUUUUUAACUUCUUGGGUUUAAAACUUCUUGUUUGAAACUCAAGCAGUUCUCCAACAACAAGAAAUAGACUACCAGUCAAUCUGUGUCACUGUGGUAAGCUUCUUUUCUUGCUGCCCACUGACUGCAGGCAGAUGACGACUGUUGAUUAAAAGGCAUGUUCUUUCUCCAUUGGGUCUGAAAUUCUUGCUUGGGGCCAUAUGGAUUGGCCGCGCAGGGAGGAAAUUAUAUUCAGCUUUCUGUUUCUGCUCAACUCUUUCCACUGGGUAAGUGGGCCCUUUGAAGUGGCACUUGCCUUACCUCACAUUCUGACAGGAAUGACUGAUCGCCUUUCAGUCCACACAAGAUAAGGAGCCACGUCGGAGCUGUCUUAACUAAACAAUAGCGAACCACCCAGAGCACUCUUCCAAGACGGGAGAGAAUUCCCCACAUGUGUUAAGCAUUUUAUUCUUCCCAAAUGCAUUACUCUGUAUUAUUGUGUUAAAUUGGAUAAUGUCGACAUGAAAGGGCCGUGUCAAUUGUAUCAGAUAACAAAAAAGUAAGAUUUUGUAUGUCAUCCACCUGGGGAUGUCAAAAGAGAAAAUACAGGGCGCUGGGCAGAUGGCUCAGUGGCUAAGAGCACUGACAGCUCUGGCAGACAAGCCAGGUUCCUGCCCUGCUUGAGUUCCUGUCCUGACUUCCUUCAAUGAUGAACAGCAAUGUGGAAGUAUAAGCCAAAUAAACCAUUUCUUCCCA
rnacentral:lncRNA from 1 species